rnacentral:lncRNA from 1 species
UUAGUAUAGGAAGUGUGUUGGAGUAAAGUUCAACAUGAAGGUAGUGUGCGCCUUGGAGCAAGUUUUGUUUGUUAAAGUAUGCGGAAAGGUGGUCUCAGAUUUCAUAAACAUAAGAGCAACUAAUAGUGUGCAUAAGGAUUUUAUUGGAUAAGGUUGGUUAGAGACGGAUUUUAUUGGAUAAGGUUGGUUAGAGACGGAAAAAAAUAAAGCAUUUGAUCUGAACGGUAU